rnacentral:rRNA from 1 species
GACGAACGCUGGCGGCGUGCUUAACACAUGCAAGUCGAACGGAGCGAAUGAAAGCUUGCUUUUAUGAGCUUAGUGGCAAACGGGUGAGUAACACGUAGGCAACCUGCCGACAGGAUGGGGACAACAUUCCGAAAGGAAUGCUAAUACCGAAUGAAGCGGAGGAGAGGCAUCUCCCCUCCGUGAAAGAUGGCCUCUUUUUAUGCUAUCACCUGUCGAUGGGCCUGCGUCUGAUUAGCUGGUAGGUGAGGUAACGGCUCACCUAGGCGACGAUCAGUAGCCGGUCUGAGAGGAUGAACGGCCACAUUGGGACUGAGACACGGCCCAGACUCCUACGGGAGGCAGCAGUGGGGAAUCUUCCGCAAUGGGCGCAAGCCUGACGGAGCAACGCCGCGUGAGUGAAGAAGGUCUUCGGAUCGUAAAGCUCUGUUGAUGGGGACGAACGUGCCUAAUGCGAAUAGUUUUAGGCAAUGACG